GAUGAACGCUGGCGGCGUGCCUAAUACAUGCAAGUCGAGCGAACGGACGAGAAGCUUGCUUCUCUGAUGUUAGCGGCGGACGGGUGAGUAGCACGUGGAUAACCUACCUAUAAGACUGGGAUAACUUCGGGAAACCGGAGCUAAUACCGGAUAAUAUUUUGAACCGCAUGGUUCAAAAGUGAAAGACGGUCUUGCUGUCACUUAUAGAUGGAUCCGCGCUGCAUUAGCUAGUUGGUAAGGUAACGGCUUACCAAGGCAACGAUGCAUAGCCGACCUGAGAGGGUGAUCGGCCACACUGGAACUGAGACACGGUCCAGACUCCUACGGGAGGCAGCAGUAGGGAAUCUUCCGCAAUGGGCGAAAGCCUGACGGAGCAACGCCGCGUGAGUGAUGAAGGUCUUCGGAUCGUAAAACUCUGUUAUUAGGGAAGAACAUAUGUGUAAGUAACUGUGCACAUCUUGACGGUACCUAAUCAGAAAGCCACGGCUAACUACGUGCCAGCAGCCGCGGUAAUACGUAAGUGGCAAGCGUUAUCCGGAAUUAUUGGGCGUAAAGCGCGCGUAGGCGGUUUUUUAGUCUGAUGUGAAAGCCCACGGCUCAACCGUGGAGGGUCAUUGGAAACUGGAAAACUUGAGUGCAGAAGAGGAAAGUGGAAUUCCAUGUGUAGCGGUGAAAUGCGCAGAGAUAUGGAGGAACACCAGUGGCGAAGGCGACUUUCUGGUCUGUAACUGACGCUGAUGUGCGAAAGCGUGGGGAUCAAACAGGAUUAGAUACCCUGGUAGUCCACGCCGUAAACGAUGAGUGCUAAGUGUUAGGGGGUUUCCGCCCCUUAGUGCUGCAGCUAACGCAUUAAGCACUCCGCCUGGGGAGUACGACCGCAAGGUUGAAACUCAAAGGAAUUGACGGGGACCCGCACAAGCGGUGGAGCAUGUGGUUUAAUUCGAAGCAACGCGAAGAACCUUACCAAAUCUUGACAUCCUUUGACAACUCUAGAGAUAGAGCCUUCCCCUUCGGGGGACAAAGUGACAGGUGGUGCAUGGUUGUCGUCAGCUCGUGUCGUGAGAUGUUGGGUUAAGUCCCGCAACGAGCGCAACCCUUAAGCUUAGUUGCCAUCAUUAAGUUGGGCACUCUAAGUUGACUGCCGGUGACAAACCGGAGGAAGGUGGGGAUGACGUCAAAUCAUCAUGCCCCUUAUGAUUUGGGCUACACACGUGCUACAAUGGACAAUACAAAGGGCAGCGAAACCGCGAGGUCAAGCAAAUCCCAUAAAGUUGUUCUCAGUUCGGAUUGUAGUCUGCAACUCGACUACAUGAAGCUGGAAUCGCUAGUAAUCGUAGAUCAGCAUGCUACGGUGAAUACGUUCCCGGGUCU
rnacentral:rRNA from 1 species